CUCUGAAACCAGACCGAGUGCCGCGUGGAUCUCUCCUCAAAAGCUUGAGUGUCCGAGGAAAGAGAACGUCAGCAUUUGUGAAUCAGAUUCCACGGAAUACAAAACGUCCAAGAAUUCCAAGCUCGGAGAAGAAAGAACAAUAUCAAGUGCAAUCAUGAGACGAAGCUCCAGCAAGCAAGGCUUGCAGAACCUCCUGAGAGUGACGGCUCAGCGAAGUAUCGAAGAUGCUGAGGAGAUCGAGAGAGAAAGGCGACUUCGGGCCCGGGAGGCCUUCCGCAAUAAACAAAGCCUGUCUGGAUCUGCCGGUUUCCCUCAGGACAGUGUGAACCCACCUGAAACCGGCCUCUAUGAAAGUGAAUUCAAACCUAGCAGUUCGACUGCUGUGGAUGAGGAUGAAGGUUUCAGUGACUGGACCCAAAAGCUGGGACAGAGAACAAGGUCCAGAAUGGCCGAGAACAGCAGUGGAGAACAGUUACAACAGGAGGAGAAAGACGUGAAUGAGAGAUCUAGACAAAGUGACAAAAGCAGCUUCACCACUUCUAUACAGUAUCAGCAAAUACAGGACAGAGAGGAUGAGGAGAAAAGACCAGAUAGGUGGAGGAGCCCUGAGAGACGAAUGGAGAUCAGUGAGAGGGUGAGCAGCCCGAGAUCAGAGGAAUGGCAUGACGACAGCAAAAGAAGACAACAGGAAAUAACACCACAGAUGGAGAACAAGAUGAAAGAGGAGAGGAAGGAGAUGAAGGUGUCAUAUACAUCGAAAGUAUUCCUACAGCAAGACAGAAUGCCUAAUGGCAAUGGAGAGGCAGCUGCAGAGGAAAUUACAUCACAUCUGGUCAAAACCAAAAGAUCACCCAGCAGGACUGUAGAUGUAGAUCAGGUCUUUGAGACUAAGAAGGACAUGGACGCUGGUCUGGAGACCGAGCUGAAGCUGGAGAAGAUCAGACGUAGCCACCAGGAGAAGGAGAGCCAAGGAAUGGAGCAGCUACGGCAGCGUCAGGCCGAGGCUGAGCUGGAGCUGGAGGAACUGAAGAAGAAGAGAGAGGAACGACGCAAGGCUCGUGAAGAGGAGGAGCAGAAGAGAGAGGAAGAGGAACAGCAGAAACUAGCCAAAAAAGAGGUGACUGAGCUGAUUUCUAUUCGUCUAAAUCCAAAGUUCUGGCAUGAAACUCUAGAUGG
rnacentral:lncRNA from 1 species